AGUCGAUCAAGUCUUUUGCCACUCUUAAAACAAGACUUGUGUUAUCCCAGGAGCUCUAGAGACAUAUUGGGAGAUCAUUUUGAUUUUGCAAUUGAAACUUCAGGAGAAGCCUGAUCUCUGUAACUUACGGACAAAAAUUGACCUGCAGAAGGUGACGGAAUUUCAUUACAAUCUCAACUGGACACUAGCAUUUGGGCUGUGGAGAAAAACGAAAAUGCAUUUUCUGACUUUACUAAUACUCAUUUGCUCUUUCUCCACUGUGGAUGCCUCAAGAUACUUUAAACUCGCAUUGAUCAGUUUAGGAGCAGCAUCACGGCACACAGUAUUGCCUGGCUGACAAGGUGACUCACUAUUGGAUGUCUGCAAUGACAGGUUUGAACCAUCUAGUAGGAAGUAUAAGUAUAUAAAUAAGUAUAAGCCAUGAAUGAAUGUAAAGCUUCCCAAAUGGCAUUAAUAAAUGACAACAACUAAUAUGCUGAAAAUCACGAACUCAAUGUUAUUAUUGAGACUUGUAGAAGAUACUUAUUCUCAUGUUUAAAACAAGAGCUAGUUCGUAUACAUGAGACUAUGCAUAUUUUGAACCAGGGAAUAGUCUCAAGCAGAACGUAACAUGAACUAGCAUGCCUUGUAUAUCUUAGGCUUGUAUAGUAUCACUGGAUUAUACGUAGAUUUCUAUCCCUUCAGAUGACUAAUAAUAAUGCCAUGACAAGUAAUUGUGUAAGAAGUUAUGACUAUCAAACAAGUAUAUUUAUGGAUUGUCAUUUACAACUGUAGGCAGGACUAUGAGUGAUCUAGAUCAGUUGAAAUAUCAUGACUCUUGAAAUUAUGUCUAUUAGGCUAAAAAAAAUUAAAUCAGACUAAGUAUGUAAUAGGCUUUUGACCCAAAAACUAUUUCAUUCCCACUUGACAAGUUUAGCUAAUUAUUGUAAAUUAGGCAUUAUUUAUCUAAAUUAGGCAUUAGAUUUGAACAGCCAACAGCCAACUCAUUAAUACUCAUAAGACAUACAAAUGGUGCUGUCUGAAAAUGCUUUCUAUAUCCAGGUUACCCUUCUUAGAUUAUAUUGCAGUUAAAGAGUCAAAUAAUGUACUUCAUUUGUUUCUAGCAUCACUAAUAAUCAAAACU